rnacentral:rRNA from 1 species
CCUACGGGUGGCUGCAGUGGGGAAUAUUGGACAAUGGGGGCAACCCUGAUCCAGCCAUGCCGCGUGUGUGAAGAAGGCCCUCGGGUUGUAAAGCACUUUCAGUGAGGAAGAACGCCUGGUGGUUAAUACCCAUCAGGAAAGACAUCACUCACAGAAGAAGCACCGGCUAACUCCGUGCCAGCAGCCGCGGUAAUACGGAGGGUGCGAGCGUUAAUCGGAAUUACUGGGCGUAAAGCGCGCGUAGGUGGCUUGAUAAGCCGGUUGUGAAAGCCCCGGGCUCAACCUGGGAACGGCAUCCGGAACUGUCAAGCUAGAGUGCAGGAGAGGAAGGUGGAAUUCCCGGUGUAGCGGUGAAAUGCGUAGAGAUCGGGAGGAAUACCAGUGGCGAAGGAGGCCUUCUGGACUGACACUGACACUGAGGUGCGAAAGCGUGGGUAGCAAACAGGAUUAGAUAGCCUGGUAGUC